UGGGGAAUAUUGGACAAUGGGCGCAAGCCUGAUCCAGCAAUGCCGCGUGUGUGAAGAAGGCCUGCGGGUUGUAAAGCACUUUAAGCAGGGAAGAGUGGACUAAGGUUAAUACCCUUGGUCAGUGACGUUACCUGCAGAAUAAGCACCGGCUAACUCCGUGCCAGCAGCCGCGGUAAUACGGAGGGUGCGAGCGUUAAUCGGAAUUACUGGGCGUAAAGCGCGCGUAGGCGGUUGGCUAAGUUUGCUGUGAAAGCCCCGGGCUUAACCUGGGAACUGCAGUGAAUACUGGUCAGCUAGAGUAUGGUAGAGGGUAGUGGAAUUUCCGGUGUAGCAGUGAAAUGCGUAGAGAUCGGAAGGAACACCAGUGGCGAAGGCGGCUAUCUGGACCAAUACUGACGCUGAGGUGCGAAAGCGUGGGGAGCAAACA
rnacentral:rRNA from 1 species